rnacentral:snRNA from 1 species
AUUGCUUCUAGGGCUUUUGGCUAAGAUCAAGUGUGGUAUCUGUUCUUUUUAGUUUAAUAUCUGAUACGUCCUCUAUCCGAGGACAAUAUAUUAAAUGGAUUUUUGGAGUAGGGAGAUGGAAUAGGAGCUUGCUCCAUCCACUCCACGCAUCGGCCUGGUAUUGCACUGCUUCCAGGAAUGGUGCACCCCCU